UUGAACGCUGGCGGCAGGCCUAACACAUGCAAGUCGAGCGGUAGCACAGAGAGCUUGCUCUCGGGUGACGAGCGGCGGACGGGUGAGUAAUGUCUGGGAAACUGCCUGAUGGAGGGGGAUAACUACUGGAAACGGUAGCUAAUACCGCAUAAUGUCGCAAGACCAAAGUGGGGGACCUUCGGGCCUCAUGCCAUCAGAUGUGCCCAGAUGGGAUUAGCUAGUAGGUGGGGUAACGGCUCACCUAGGCGACGAUCCCUAGCUGGUCUGAGAGGAUGACCAGCCACACUGGAACUGAGACACGGUCCAGACUCCUACGGGAGGCAGCAGUGGGGAAUAUUGCACAAUGGGCGCAAGCCUGAUGCAGCCAUGCCGCGUGUGUGAAGAAGGCCUUCGGGUUGUAAAGCACUUUCAGCGGGGAGGAAGGCGUUAAGGUUAAUAACCUUGGCGAUUGACGUUACCCGCAGAAGAAGCACCGGCUAACUCCGUGCCAGCAGCCGCGGUAAUACGGAGGGUGCAAGCGUUAAUCGGAAUUACUGGGCGUAAAGCGCACGCAGGCGGUCUGUCAAGUCGGAUGUGAAAUCCCCGGGCUCAACCUGGGAACUGCAUUCGAAACUGGCAGGCUAGAGUCUUGUAGAGGGGGGUAGAAUUCCAGGUGUAGCGGUGAAAUGCGUAGAGAUCUGGAGGAAUACCGGUGGCGAAGGCGGCCCCCUGGACAAAGACUGACGCUCAGGUGCGAAAGCGUGGGGAGCAAACAGGAUUAGAUACCCUGGUAGUCCACGCCGUAAACGAUGUCGAUUUGGAGGUUGUGCCCUUGAGGCGUGGCUUCCGGAGCUAACGCGUUAAAUCGACCGCCUGGGGAGUACGGCCGCAAGGUUAAAACUCAAAUGAAUUGACGGGGGCCCGCACAAGCGGUGGAGCAUGUGGUUUAAUUCGAUGCAACGCGAAGAACCUUACCUGGUCUUGACAUCCACAGAACUUUCCAGAGAUGGAUUGGUGCCUUCGGGAACUGUGAGACAGGUGCUGCAUGGCUGUCGUCAGCUCGUGUUGUGAAAUGUUGGGUUAAGUCCCGCAACGAGCGCAACCCUUAUCCUUUGUUGCCAGCGGUUCGGCCGGGAACUCAAAGGAGACUGCCAGUGAUAAACUGGAGGAAGGUGGGGAUGACGUCAAGUCAUCAUGGCCCUUACGACCAGGGCUACACACGUGCUACAAUGGCAUAUACAAAGAGAAGCGACCUCGCGAGAGCAAGCGGACCUCAUAAAGUAUGUCGUAGUCCGGAUUGGAGUCUGCAACUCGACUCCAUGAAGUCGGAAUCGCUAGUAAUCGUAGAUCAGAAUGCUACGGUGAAUACGUUCCCGGGCCUUGUACACACCGCCCGUCACACCAUGGGAGUGGGUUGCAAAAGAAGUAGGUAGCUUAACCUUCGGGAGGGCGCUUACCACUUUGUGAUUCAUGACUGGGGUG
rnacentral:rRNA from 1 species